CCACACUGGGACUGAGACACGGCCCAGACUCCUACGGGAGGCAGCAGUGGGGAAUUUUGGACAAUGGGCGCAAGCCUGAUCCAGCCAUGCCGCGUGUCUGAAGAAGGCCUUCGGGUUGUAAAGGACUUUUGUCAGGGAAGAAAAGGCUGUUGCUAAUAUCGACAGCUGAUGACGGUACCUGAAGAAUAAGCACCGGCUAACUACGUGCCAGCAGCCGCGGUAAUACGUAGGGUGCGAGCGUUAAUCGGAAUUACUGGGCGUAAAGCGAGCGCAGACGGUUACUUAAGCAGGAUGUGAAAUCCCCGGGCUCAACCUGGGAACUGCGUUCUGAACUGGGUGACUAGAGUGUGUCAGAGGGAGGUAGAAUUCCACGUGUAGCAGUGAAAUGCGUAGAGAUGUGGAGGAAUACCGAUGGCGAAGGCAGCCUCCUGGGAUAACACUGACGUUCAUGCUCGAAAGCGUGGGUAGCAAACAGGAUUAGAUACCCUGGUAGUCCACGCCCUAAACGAUGUCAAUUAGCUGUUGGGCAACUUGAUUGCUUAGUAGCGUAGCUAACGCGUGAAAUUGACCGCCUGGGGAGUACGGUCGCAAGAUUAAAACUCAAAGGAAUUGACGGGGACCCGCACAAGCGGUGGAUGAUGUGGAUUAAUUCGAUGCAACGCGAAGAACCUUACCUGGUCUUGACAUGUACGGAAUCCUCCAGAGACGGAGGAGUGCCUUCGGGAACCGUAACACAGGUGCUGCAUGGCUGUCGUCAGCUCGUGUCGUGAGAUGUUGGGUUAAGUCCCGCAACGAGCGCAACCCUUGUCAUUAGUUGCCAUCAUUAAGUUGGGCACUCUAAUGAGACUGCCGGUGACAAGCCGGAGGAAGGUGGGGAUGACGUCAAGUCCUCAUGGCCCUUAUGACCAGGGCUUCACACGUCAUACAAUGGUCGGUACAGAGGGUAGCCAAGCCGCGAGGUGGAGCCAAUCUCACAAAACCGAUCGUAGUCCGGAUUGCACUCUGCAACUCGAGUGCAUGAAGUCGGAAUCGCUAGUAAUCGCAGGUCAGCAUACUGCGGUGAAUACGUUCCCGGGUCUUGUACACACCGCCCGUCACACCAUGGGAGU
rnacentral:rRNA from 1 species